GGACACCAGUUCAGUUGGUUAGAAUACCUGCCUGUCACGCAGGGGGUCGCGGGUUCGAGUCCCGUCCACCG
rnacentral:tRNA from 1 species